rnacentral:lncRNA from 1 species
UUGGAAUUUGAUUUGGAAAGAUUUUGUUAUAUGAAUCAGAAGAAAUAUAAAACAAGUUACUCCCAAGUCGGAACUGAUAUUUUAUGAAAUUUAAAUAUGUGAAACGUAUUGUUACGCAAUUAACUACAAUAUAAACAGGAAUGUGAAUGUGAGUGUGGCGCUAUCAAAUGUAUACUUAUAUUCAACGAAGGUCGGUCACGCUAUUGCUCGGUUAUUAUAAAGAGUAAAGACAAGUAUAAA